rnacentral:lncRNA from 1 species
GUUUGGCUACUGGCCCGACCCAUUGCUGUUUAAAGACUCCAUUGUUGGGGUUGCAUUUUGAUUUUCUCCGUAUCCUGGUGAAGGUGACGCGUGUCUGGAAUAAACGGGAUUUCUGGAGUUUGUCCGUGGAGAUACUAACCGUUGUCUUUAGGGACUACAUGAUCUCUAGUUUAUUGGGUGGGUUGCUCAUCGAUAGACAUUAAGCUUGGUGUAUUUCUACCUGCCGAUCUACCGCGAUUGUAUUGCUCAUGAGAUCUUCCACGUGUAUAUUGAUCAGGUGAUCUUCCAUGGAACUGGUGAUCUUCCAUGAUUAUUUGACCAGAAGAACCGAAGUUAUAUUGAUCGGCAAAUCCACGGUUAUGCUGAUUAGUUGAAAGCAUAACAUCAGCUAGUUUUGUGACAAUUUGUGUGAGGUUAUGC